AAGUCGUAACAAGGUUUCCGUAGGUGAACCUGCGGAAGGAUCAUUAACACGUAUCCAACGUUAAACCCCCCUGUGAACCUUCAGAGAGCUCUUGCAUACCGUACGGAACAGCAAUCCUGGUAAAUCAGUGCACUUGCUAUGUGACGAGGCCCGGUUUAACUUGGUCGUCAGGUAGGGGGGCUCAAGGCCCUGCAGGUCUGUCCGCCGGCCCGUGGUGAGCCUCUAGCGAUCGUAAUGUUAACCUCGAAACCGUACAGCGACACUUUAAUCCGCCCGGCCAGGUCUCCAGACCCACUGCGUAUGCGCUCAAUUGAAGUCCUGGACAGAGGUCCUGAAUCAAAAACGACUUUCGCCGCCGUGAUGGAGGAAAACGUACAACUGUUAACAAUGGAUAUCUUGGUUCUC
rnacentral:misc_RNA from 1 species